GUUUGUCUAGGUCUCUUCAAAAUUCCCAAGUAUCAAAUAAAUUAAGGAUUAUCUUUAAAAAUUGUGCCAUUUCAGCCUAUGAAAAAAACCCAUCAUAGCUGACUAUGCAGCAUGGGCUUUGUUCAUCGUAGAAGGCCGCAUGCUGACCUAUAGCUGUUAAUUUCUGUGUCCUUUGGUCUCUAUUGGAGAUUUAUCUCAUUGGCAAUCAUAUCUCAUCUUUUUUUUUUUCUUAUAAAGUUUGAAAUAUUUUCCAUGUAACGUACCAGUAAAUACAUGUAUUACUGGGGUGAUACAGAUGUUCCUUAGCGACUCCUCCCAGUCAUGUGACAGUCAUGUGUCAAUAAGUAAAUUAAACAUUGAGGUGUGAAGUGAUCAGUAGGUAUCAUCUCAUUAUCCUUAAUUGACUUCACACCUUGGUCAGGUAGAGCCUUUCAUCUCUAUAGGUAUGCCCCUUUCAUCUUCAGAAAC
rnacentral:lncRNA from 1 species